rnacentral:tRNA from 2 species
GCGAGAGUGGCGGAACUGGCAGACGCACCAGACUUAGGAUCUGGCGCCGAAAGGCUUAAGGGUUCGACUCCCUUCUCUCGCA